UACGGGGGGGGCAAGCGUUGUUCGGAAUUACUGGGCGUAAAGGGCUCGUAGGUGGCCAACUAAGUCAGACGUGAAAUCCCUCGGCUUAACCGGGGAACUGCGUCUGAUACUGGAUGGCUUGAGUUCGGGAGAGGGAUGCGGAAUUCCAGGUGUAGCGGUGAAAUGCGUAGAUAUCUGGAGGAACACCGGUGGCGAAGGCGGCAUCCCGGACCGACACUGACGCUGAGGAGCGAAAGCCAGGGGAGCAAACGGG
rnacentral:rRNA from 1 species